AUGCACGGCUUGCGCCGGCGGUGUGGACAAAAGCAGACGCGUGCUGUGCCACCACCUGAAGAGCAGGUUAYUGUGUUAAUUUUCACGUUCGCUUUGAUACUCUUGGCUUGCAUGGAAGGUGCCUGUCGAUGCACUCACUGCUGCCCGUGCAUACACAAGACCAUGACCACUGCCCUGGAGAAGCAUCUUGCGUUCAGAAGGACACACGACCGUGCACGAAGCAUUAAAAUGACCCGUAUCCUAGUUAUGACCACUCCGGCGCUGCUCCGCUCCUGCGAGGGAUGCGGGAAUGAUCCCCAGUCGUGCUCGGGCUUUGCUCYGCUGGGAAAUGAGGAGGGCUGCGUUCGUUCCCUGCGGGAAUCCGGGUUGUGCCGAGCGGGAAGGAGCCAGGAUAAACUCCUCAACGCUAGCAGAACUUCAAGCUGAUCAAAGAAACAAACACUUUUAAUGAAACAUAUGCAAGAUACUUAGAAGGAGAAGAUUCACAAUGCAUCUGCUGCGGGACCAGAAGGCUUAUCAGAAGUGUGAAGUAGGAGGAGAAAAAUUACUAGUGUAUGAUGCCAGAGAAGAUUACAGAAAUAUUAAGCAGAAGGAACGUAAACACAUGCAGCAGGCGACGAGCGGCGCGCGUCACCCCCUGCACGAAGAGGCUCCGCCGUGCAAAGCGGCCCCAGAGCGCCGGCUAAGCAGCAGCGCGGUGCCCGGGCCUCCCRGGUUUGCACGGGGAGAGCUGCGCGCCGAAGGAGCAGCCCCGCGCCGCCUGCGCCUGGCCUGCUCUCCUGUUCACCCUGGUCCCUACUGAUGACCUCGUAGGCCAGGUGCGUAGCGGGGCCCUUUCCCUCCCAGGAGGUCCUGCAGCUCGUGGGCUCGCGCCGCCUUCAACCCGGCUACUGCAAAGCCUGCGCGCGAUCGCAAUGCAAACGCCACGCGGGAAGAGGGCCGUGCCGUCGGUGCCAAACGUCGGGGAAACGGAGGAGUGGUGCAACGAUCAUUUAGCUGCAUUUUCCUUACGGAAUAAAAACUUCAAAGUACUACCCA
rnacentral:lncRNA from 1 species